GAGUUUGAUCAUGGCUCAGAUUGAACGCUGGCGGCAUGCCUUACACAUGCAAGUCGAACGGCAGCACGGGAGCUUGCUCCUGGUGGCGAGUGGCGAACGGGUGAGUAAUGCAUCGGAACGUAUCCUGGAGUGGGGGAUAACGUAGCGAAAGUUACGCUAAUACCGCAUAUUCUGUGAGCAGGAAAGCGGGGGACCUUCGGGCCUCGCGCUCUUGGAGCGGCCGAUGUCGGGUUAGCUAGUUGGUGAGGUAAAGGCUCACCAAGGCGACGAUCCGUAGCAGGUCUGAGAGGAUGAUCUGCCACACUGGAACUGAGACACGGUCCAGACUCCUACGGGAGGCAGCAGUGGGAAUUUUGGACAAUGGGGGCAACCCUGAUCCAGCCAUGCCGCGUGAGUGAAGAAGGCC
rnacentral:rRNA from 2 species